AAAUGUGAGGAACAUCUGUCAGCAACAUAUGUCCUCCCAUUGAUCGCCAGGGCUGAUUCUGCUGAUCUGGUUGGCUGGGUUGGUUUCUCCUUCCUCCUUCCCCUUUCCAUGUGAAUCCUUCCCAAAGUUGCAUGCUUGAUGGAAGAGGAUGAUCAUCUCCAGUGAGGGUGGACCAUUCCUCCAUCAGUAGUGUAUAAGUAGCUUUGCUUCCCUGCUAGAACCUCCAAACAAGCUCUCAAGGAAAAUAUUAACCUGGAAAUCAUCAAUAUAUUUGAGAAGUUUUUAAAUGGCUUUAU
rnacentral:snRNA from 1 species